GAUGUUUGGUCAUGAUGAAUUUUCGCAAGAUGAGUGGGUUUAAAAAGGUGUAAUAUUGUUGGGUUUUUAUCAGACUUGAACAUCAGUUAGUGGAUCCUGCUGCAGACUCAACAGAGCAACAUCUACAGUACAGAGCCUGCUGAUCAGCACAGACGAGAUGAACAUUCUUCUGGUCAUCACCGUUAUGUUCGCUCUCCUCCAUCUGGGGAAAAAUCAAUCCUGUACGUCAAAAAGUGACCAACAGGAGUACAAGGACUUUGUGAAGAAACACUUCGUUCACAAGCAAUUUGACAGAACAUCAAGGGUUCAAUGGAAGAGGUACAUAGAGGAUAAAGGCCUCUGCAACAGAGCGGAGCAGUCCUUCCUCGAGCCGACCGAUCAGAUAAACGUUGAGGCGAUCUGUGGUGUCAAUGGUCGCCGUGUACAGGACAUCUACCAGCCAAAGCAGAACAACCUAUGCAUCAGUACUCAGAAGAUGAUUAUGUAUCAUUUGAAAGUCGAAGACAAGUGUAAGGUUACAGUUUGUCGCCGUGAAAAAUAUCAGGUAGUUGUGGCUUGUAAUAAAGUUGAAAACAAGUGCCUUCCUGUACACUUUCAGGAGUUUGUCAAACAAAAAGCAAGUACCACCUCCUGCAGUGGCUGAGUUCCUGUAAUUGUUUAACAUUGGAUCUCAGUUGUCGGCCCAUUGUUGACCUGACAGCUAAAUCCGCUUUAAUGCUUAAAGCCUUAAUGCAUUUAUACUCUGUGAAAUGUUCACUUCCUGAUAAUGAUCCAAAUCAAUAGUUUGCAUGUCUACAUGAUUCACUUCUCCAUGAUGAGUUGACUUUUUUUUUGUCUCCCUUCAGCUUCACAAGCUUUCUUUCUGCAUUAAACAUUUGAAAUUGAAAACUGUCUGUAGUAGCUCAGAAAUAAAAGCAUUCAAUGAAAACGUC